UACGAAGGGUGCUAGCGUUGCUCGGAAUCACUGGGCGUAAAGGGUGCGUAGGCGGGUCUUUAAGUCAGGGGUGAAAUCCUGGAGCUCAACUCCAGAACUGCCUUUGAUACUGAGAAGCUUGAGUCCGGGAGAGGUGAGUGGAACUGCGAGUGUAGAGGUGAAAUUCGUAGAUAUUCGCAAGAACACCAGUGGCGAAGGCGGCUCACUGGCCCGGUACUGACGCUGAGGUGCGAAAGCGUGGGGAGCAAACAGG
rnacentral:rRNA from 1 species